rnacentral:misc_RNA from 1 species
UUCCCUCUCAAACUUUACGUUUGGUAGUGAGCGAUACUCUACUCUGGAGUUUGCUUGAAAAUGGGAGGCCAUAGGCGGAGCUUAGUUUGCGACUGUGCCGAGAGGCAUGGGAGCGGCCUAGCCACGAAAAGUCGUAUUAGGUUUUACCGACUCGGCGGAAUAGUGGAGAGGUUUCUUUUUUUUUUAUUCUAAGGUAAGCCGUCUGGCUAGACAAAAUUCUCAAAGUUUGACCUCAAAUCAGGUAGGAUUACCCGCUUAACUUAA